AUUGAACGCUGGCGGCAGGCCUAACACAUGCAAGUCGAACGAGUGGCGGACGGGUGCGUAAUGUCUGGGAAACUGCCUGCUGGCGGGGGAUAACUACUGGAAACGGUAGCUAAUACCGAAUACCGUAAGUUGUGCCCAGAUGGGUUUAGCUUGUGGGUGGGGUAACGGCUCACCAAGGCGACGAUCCCUAGCUGGUCUGAGAGGAUGACCGGCCACACUGGAACGGAGACACGGUCCAGACUCCUACGGGAGGCAGCAGUGGGGAAUAUUGCACAAUGGGCGCAAGCCUGAUGCAGCCAUGCCGCGUGUAUGAAGAAGGCCUUCGGGUUGUAAAGUACUUUCAGCGGGGAGGCGUUACCCGCAGAAGAAGCACCGGCUAACUCCGUGCCAGCAGCCGCGGUAAUUC
rnacentral:rRNA from 1 species